UACAGAGGUCCCAAGCGUUGUUCGGAUUCACUGGGCGUAAAGGGUGCGUAGGUGGCGAGGUAAGUCUGAUGUGAAAGCUCGGAGCUCAACUCCGAAAUGGCAUUGGAAACUACCUCGCUAGAGGAUCGGAGGGGAGACUGGAAUUCUCGGUGUAGCAGUGAAAUGCGUAGAUAUCGAGAGGAACACCAGUGGCGAAGGCGAGUCUCUGGACGAUUCCUGACGCUGAGGCACGAAAGCCAGGGGAGCAAACGGG
rnacentral:rRNA from 1 species